CAGACUCGACUGUGUUUGACAGCGCAGAUCCAGAAUGGUUGGUCCGAGGAACGCCACGCACAACCCAAAACUGAAGAAGACACUCCAAGUAGAAGACAAAGUGAUGGAACAGAUUGUGUCUGAGCGGUUCACCUGGGGACGUGAUUGAUCAGCGGCUGCGGCUUGUACUGAGGGAAGAGGCUGAUGCAGUCUGUGCCCGCCACCGGCAAGCUGAUGCUGCAGUGCUGAGAAUCCAAAGGGGAUCUAACGACCUCAAGAGGUGAUGAUGU